rnacentral:rRNA from 1 species
AACGAACGCUGCCUGCAUGCCUAACACAUGCAAGUCGAACGAGACCUUCGGGUCUAGUGGCGCACGGGUGCGUAACGCGUGGGAACCUGCCCUUAGGUUCGGAAUAACCCCCCGAAAGGGGUGCUAAUACCCGCUUAUGUCUUCGGACCAUAGAUUUAUCGCCUUUGGAUGGGUCCGCGUUGGAUUAGCUAGUUGGUAGGGUAAUAGCCUACCAAGGCGACGAUCCAUAGCUGGUCUGAUAGGAUGCUCAGCCACACUGGGACUGAGACACGGCCCAGACUCCUACGGGAGGCAGCAGUGGGGAAUAUUGGACAACGGGCGAAAGCCUGAUCCAGCAAUGCCGCGUGAGUGAUGAAGGCCUUAGGGUUGUAAAGCUCUUUUACCCGGGAUGAUAAUGACAGUACCGGGAGAAUAAGCUCCGGCUAACUCCGUG